GCUCGAGCGGCAGCACAAGUGAGUUUACUCAUGAGGUGGCGAGCGGCGGACGGGUGAGUAAUGCCUAGGGAUCUGCCCAGUCGAGGGGGAUAACAGUUGGAAACGACUGCUAAUACCGCAUACGCCCUACGGGGGAAAGGAGGGGACCUUUUGGCCUUCCGCGAUUGGAUGAACCUAGGUGGGAUUAGCUAGUUGGUGAGGUAAUGGCUCACCAAGGCGACGAUCCCUAGCUGUUCUGAGAGGAUGAUCAGCCACACUGGGACUGAGACACGGCCCAGACUCCUACGGGAGGCAGCAGUGGGGAAUAUUGCACAAUGGGGGAAACCCUGAUGCAGCCAUGCCGCGUGUGUGAAGAAGGCCUUCGGGUUGUAAAGCACUUUCAGUAGGGAGGAAAGGUUGUAAGUUAAUACCUUGCAGCUGUGACGUUACCUACAGAAGAAGGACCGGCUAACUCCGUGCCAGCAGCCGCGGUAAUACGGAGGGUCCAAGCGUUUAUCGGAAUUACUGGGCGUAAAGCGUGCGCAGGCGGUUUGUUAAGCGAGAUGUGAAAGCCCCGGGCUCAACCCUGGGAAUUGCAUUUCGAACUGGCCAACUUANAGNCCUUNUNGAGGGGGGGUUAGNAAUUCCCGGUGUUAUCCGNUNGAAAUGCNUUANAAGAUCUGGAGC
rnacentral:rRNA from 1 species